UACGGGAGGGGCAGCUGUUGUCGGAAUUAUUGGGCGUAAAGGGCGCGUAGGCGGUUUGACAAGUCUGAUGUGAAAUCUCUGGGCUCAACCCAGAGUCUGCAUUAGAAACUGUCGGGCUUGAGUAUGGGAGAGGUGAGUGGAAUUUCCGGUGUAGCGGUGAAAUGCGUAGAUAUCGGAAGGAACACCUGUGGCGAAAGCGGCUCACUGGACCAUAACUGACGCUGAGGCGCGAAAGCUA
rnacentral:rRNA from 1 species